AUUGAACGCUGGCGGCAUGCCUUACACAUGCAAGUCGAACGGUAACAGGCCGCAAGGUGCUGACGAGUGGCGAACGGGUGAGUAAUGCAUCGGAACGUGCCCAGUCGUGGGGGAUAACGCAGCGAAAGCUGCGCUAAUACCGCAUACGAUCUAUGGAUGAAAGCGGGGGACCGUAAGGCCUCGCGCGAUUUGAGCGGCCGAUGGCAGAUUAGGUAGUUGGUGGGGUAAAGGCUCACCAAGCCAACGAUCUGUAGCUGGUCUGAGAGGACGACCAGCCACACUGGGACUGAGACACGGCCCAGACUCCUACGGGAGGCAGCAGUGGGGAAUUUUGGACAAUGGGCGCAAGCCUGAUCCAGCAAUGCCGCGUGCAGGAAGAAGGCCUUCGGGUUGUAAACUGCUUUUGUACGGAACGAAAAGGCUCUGGUUAAUACCUGGGGCUCAUGACGGUACCGUAAGAAUAAGCACCGGCUAACUACGUGCCAGCAGCCGCAGUAAAAC
rnacentral:rRNA from 1 species